UUUCCGUAGGUGAACCUGCGGAAGGAUCAUUAAAAAAUUGGACUCCAUUGGUGAGUUCAUUAAUAAUCCCUACCCUUUGUGAAUUUGUUUGUUUGAAUAAUUUUUUUUCCAAAAAAAUUAUUGAAUGUCUUUCCUUGUUUUGGUGGAGCUUGUAAAGUGAAACCAGGCAGGGGAAUGGCAAACAAUAAUUAUUUUUGAAAAAGACCUUUUUUUAAAAUUAAACUUUUUGUAUUCAUUUGUCUAAAAUUAAUUUUUAUAAUAUAAAAACAACUUUUGACAAUGGAUCUCUUGGUUCUCGCAACGAUGAAGAACGCAGCAAAAUGCGAUAAGUAGUGUGAAUUGCAGAAUACGUGAAUCAUCGAAUCUUCGAACGCAUAUUGCACUUUUUUAGUUUACUAAAAAAGUAUGUCUGUUUGAGUAUCAGUAAAAUAUUCUCAUAAAAAACAUUGUUUUUUUUAUGGUUAUGAGUGUUUUACAACGAUAACAAGUUGUUUCACUUUAAAUUCUUUGUUAUCAAAAAAAUCAUUAAAAGCUAAUUUUAAAGAUUUUUUAAAAUUGGAUAAAAUUUUCCCGUAAAAAGGAAUAACCUAAACAAUUUUAAAAAAUUAAAAUUGGUUUGAUUUUUUUGAAACCCAAAGGAAAAAAAACGAAAUUAACUUGAUCUCAAAUCAGAUAAGAGUACCCGCUGAACUUAAGCAUAUCAAUAAGCGGAGGAAAAGAAACUAACUAGGAUUCCCUCAGUAACGGCGAGUGAAGCGGGAAGAGCUCAAAUUUGAAAUCUUCAAGGUUUUACCUUGACGAAUUGUAGUUUAAAGAAGUGUUUUCUGUUGGAGUUUUGGUAAAAGUUCUUUGGAAAAGGACAUCAUAGAGGGUGAGAAUCCCGUAUUUGACCAUUAUCUCCAGCUUUGUGAUACACUUUCAAAGAGUCGGAUUGUUUGGGAAUGCAGUCCAAAAUGGGUGGUAAAUUUCAUCUAAAGCUAAAUACUGGCGAGAGACCGAUAGCGAACAAGUACCGUGAGGGAAAGAUGAAAAGAACUUUGAAAAGAGAGUUAAACAGUACGUGAAAUUGUCAAAAGGGAAGCGUUUGACACCAGUGUUGUUUUCUCAAAAAUCAAUUAAAAAAGGCCGGAUUUUGUGUUGUAUUGACUUUAUCAGCUUUCUGCACUCUUUUCUUGUCUUUUUUAAUGCACUUUUCGUUUAACAAGUCAACAUCAAUUUCUUUUGUUGUAAAAGGGUCAUUGGAAGGUGGCUUUCUUUUCGGAGAAAGUGUUUAUAGCCUUUGGCCUCUGCAAUCGGAGAGAUUGAGGUCUGCAGCGUAGAUCCUUCGGGGUUAGAUACAUUUGUGCUAAGUUAUAGCCUUUCAUAGACAACUUGUGGACUAUGAUCAGUCAUGUAGCUUACUCGCUUAUGCUAUUU
rnacentral:misc_RNA from 1 species